GAAAUGCGAUAAGUAAUGUGAAUUGCAGAAUUCAGUGAAUCAUCGAAUCUUUGAACGCACAUUGCGCCCGCCAGUAUUCUGGCAGGCAUGCCUGUUCGAGCGUCAUUUCAACCAUCAAGCCCCCGGCUUGUGUUGGGGACCUGCGGCUGCCCGCAGGCCCUGAAAAACAGUGGCGGGCUCGCUGUCACACCGAGCGUAGUAGCAUACAUUCUCGCUCAGGGCGUGCUGCGGGUUCCGGCCGUUAAACGACCUUCAUAACCCAAGGUUGACCUCGGAUCAGGUAGGAAGACCCGCUGAACUUAAGC
rnacentral:misc_RNA from 1 species